rnacentral:lncRNA from 1 species
CGAAUUUCACAGAUUCGGAAGACGAUGUUGGUGGUGAUCUUCGCCGAACGUAAGUCUUCGCUGCUCGAAAUUUUUUCAUUUUGUUGUUGUCGUCGUCGCUUCUUCUUGCAUCCGUGAACCAUUUUUGUAGCGAUUCUGAGCACCCAUGUCGAUUAACUUGUCUAAUUCUACUCUCUUUUUCUUUCUUUUUUUUCGCUUUAAUUUUGUUUUCCUACGCAUCCGUUGCUCAGAUUAGUGUUCUCAAUUUGUGAUUUGUUUUGCUGUCCCAGAUUCUUGUUCGUUUCUAUGUAAUUUUCCUGUUCCUGACUUUCUUCUGGCGGAUAUCAGAGUAUAAUUGCGUUGUUCAGAUGCAUGUUUAAUUGAGUCUAGGGAGUUGUUUGCUGCUUUUUAUUUUUCCCGGGGAAGUUGUUUAAACCAUGUACUACAUAUGUAUAUUGGUGUAUAUAGCACAGAUUCUAGUCUUAGCUAAGAAAAUACUUGUUUGAUUCUCUGAAACUACUGAGCCAUUCCUGUUGGAUUUGCC